rnacentral:tRNA from 1 species
GGAGGGGUGGUAGAGUGGUCUAUUGCGUCAGUCUUGAAAACUGAAGUGCUGAAAGGCACCGUGGGUUCGAAUCCCACCCCCUCCGCCA